rnacentral:rRNA from 1 species
AUUGAACGCUAGCGGCAUGCUUUACACAUGCAAGUCGAACGGCAGCACGAAAGAGCUUGCUCUUUUGGUGGCGAGUGGCGAACGGGUGAGUAAUGCAUCGGAACGUACCGAGUAAUGGGGGAUAACUGUCCGAAAGGAUAGCUAAUACCGCAUACGCUUUGAGAAGGAAAGUGGGGGCUCUUCGGACCUCACGUUAUUCGAGCGGCCGAUGUCUGAUUAGCUAGUUGGUGGGGUAAAGGCCUACCAAGGCGACGAUCAGUAGCGGGUCUGAGAGGAUGAUCCGCCACACUGGGACUGAGACACGGCCCAGACUCCUACGGGAGGCAGCAGUGGGGAAUUUUGGACAAUGGGCGCAAGCCUGAUCCAGCCAUGCCGCGUGUCUGAAGAAGGCCUUCGGGUUGUAAAGGACUUUUGUUAGGGAAGAAAAGGAUAGUGUUAAUACCAUUAUCUGCUGACGGUACCUAAAGAAUAAGCACCGGCUAACUACGUG